GGGGUGUCUGGGCCUCUGUCCACUUCUCAUUUCAUUUCCUUAAUGAAAGAACUCAGGCAACACGAAGAGAGGCCACUGACUUAGAGUUCUACGGAGAGCCCCAAAGGAGCAGCCCGAGGGAACUACUCUGGCAAAGAAACGUAGAAUGGCAGAUGUGGCUGUGUCUCAUGGAUUGAAGACAAAGUCCCCAGCCUGCACUGAAAGUUACCACGCCUUGUCAUCAGGUGACUCAUCUGUGGGAUAUGAGCAGAAGUGGCCUGUACAACUUCUGGGAAAGACACGUUAAGUGUUUUGACACAGACAAAGCAUUUUUCCCCCUGGAAGAGUGGGGGGGGGCAAUAAAACAACCAAGGCGCCUUCCAGCUGCCAUGUCAA